rnacentral:rRNA from 1 species
CACGGAGGAUGCGAGCGUUAUCCGGAUUUAUUGGGUUUAAAGGGUGCGUAGGCGGACUGUCAAGUCAGCGGUAAAAUUGAGAGGCUCAACCUCUUCCCGCCGUUGAAACUGGUGGUCUUGAGUGGAUGAGAAGUACGCGGAAUGCGUGGUGUAGCGGUGAAAUGCAUAGAUAUCACGCAGAACCCCGAUUGCGAAGGCAGCAUGCCGGCUUCCUACUGACGCUGAAGCACGAAAGCGUGGGGAUCGAACAGG